UACGUAGGGUGCAAGCGUUGUCCGGAAUUAUUGGGCGUAAAGAGCUCGUAGGCGGUCUGUCGCGUCGAAUGUGAAAACCCGGGGCUCAACCCCGGGCCUGCAUUCGAUACGGGCAGACUAGAGUUCGGUAGGGGAGUCUGGAAUUCCUGGUGUAGCGGUGAAAUGCGCAGAUAUCAGGAGGAACACCAAUGGCGAAGGCAGCUCGCUGGGACGGUACUGACGCUGAGGCGCGAAAGCGUGGGGAGCAAACAGG
rnacentral:rRNA from 1 species